UUGGAUCCAAUGACCUUUUAUUGCUUUGGAAGGGUACAGAGUUGGCAAGCCCUCUCAGGCUGUUGUGAAGUUAAACCACACAGAGGAGCCAACCGCUGCCCUGCCAAGUACAGGCAGGGGCUGAUGGUCCAUCCUACUACACAAAUCAAUCAAUCAUACUGUACAUCAGUCAUUCAUUUAAUUUUAUUCAUCAACCUGUGCUUCUCAGAUUCCCAUUGUUUUGUGCUGUCAGAAUAAAUAGGUUAGUUAGCAACGACAAAAACAACUUCAGAAAGGUACAAAACAGGUACAGAACACUCAAUAUAUACCGUCGUAUGUUUACAAUUGUAAAAAUAAAAAAAAACACUAGAGAUGUUCACUUAAUAUAAGCUACAGUAGUUUUCUUAUGUCUAGACCCCAGUUUAUGGUAAAUCUAUAGUAAAAUGUGACUUAAUUCUAUCCAAGGACUUGGUACGAUGAAAUGAUUGUAUAGUAAGUACCCAAUACUUAGUUGGGUAGUCUGUAUGGGUGUCUGUGUGUGUGUGUGUGUUUGGUGGUGGUAAGGCAGUGUAAAGGUGACUCUUGGACCUUGCUGGCCCCAUAUAAGAACACAAACACGUGGGUCAUACCACCUGUCAUACCGUCGCAGCCCAUGUGACUAGCUAGCUCAGAGAGACAGCUGUGACUGUGUCUAACUAACCCAGGUCCGCCUGCUCCUUCCUGGAUCACAUGCUGCCCAACUCCUCACCCACCCAAUCAAUGAAGCCACAACCACGACCCAUGUUUUAAGUGAGAGCAAUAUUCAGAGCCAACAUAAACUUACCUCAAAGCUAUCUUGGAAGAGUCACAAAUACCCUGUCCAAUGAAUGGUAAAGAUAGUAUGUAGCUGGAUUGGGGUCGGAGAGUGUGUGUGUGUGUGUGUGUUUGCGUGCGUGUUGUAGGGAAAGUGGUUAAAAAGGGAGCGGGGUCGUUGAGUAGUUCAUUAAGACAGGGACAGACAAGUGGUCAUUCCUUGACAUUCCUGCUGGGUCGCCGUGGAGACAUGAGUUAGGGUUAGAGAAAGGUAUCCUGUUGCAGCACCCUUCCCUACCCUUCCCCUCCCCAGAGCACCUCGUGCCUGCGCGCCCUAUUGCCUAACCAGAUACCUUACCAGAAUGUGAUGUACUCAUACUGUGGUGAGUAUCUGGGAUAUACUGACUGGUAUGUGGUUUAAAGGUCAUACACAGACCUUAGACUGAACAUGCAUAGUGACUGUAUAUCACAUACACUGUACUGUAGGGACCAUGCAGAUAGGUACUGUAGUCACAUACUAUGGCUGUUGUAUGACAUGCAAGUAUAAUAGCAACCAGCAACCUGUGGUUGAAAAUGUGCAUUGAGACAUCCAAGCAUAGCAGGGUACAGUACGUAUUGUAUGUACAUGUGCAACCUCCAACCUAGACAGGCUGACGCUAUAUUCUUUAGUCUGUUGGCACACAGACCCUGUGUGGGUGAUUAUGAAAUGAAGGCCAGGCGCCACAGGCUAAAAUGUCAUUUUUUGGUAUUGGUCCCUUUAAUAUUUUCAAAAAGUAUCAUAUAUUACCGUCAUCAAAAUGUCACGAAUUGUAACCGCUUUAAAAAUGGACAUACAUCCAUAAUUUCAGGGCUCACUACAUUGAAUCACACAUCAUUUAAAUGCCCAUUUUAUAGAGAAUGUUACAAACUGGACUAUAUUGGGACAUUGACACAUUUUGUGUUGUUUUGGCUCUGUAGUCCAGCACUUUGGAUUUGAAAUGAUACAAUGAAUACGAGGCUAACGUAUUCUCAUACCCUCAUGACAGGUAGCCUAGUGGUUAGAGAGUUGGACUUGCAAGGUUGCAAGAUCGAAUCCCCGAGCUGACAAGGUAAAAAUCUGUCGUUCUGCCCCUGAACAACGCGGUUAAUCCACUGUUCCUAGGCCGUCAUUGAAAGUAAGAAUUUGAUCUUAACUUGCCUAGUUAAAUAAAGGUUAAAAAAAAUCCAUAUCAGGUGAACUGUUUUGAAAUUACAGCCUUUUCUGUAUAUAGUCCCCCAAUUUGAGGGGACAAAAAGUAUUGGGAUGAGUUCACUUAUAUGUGUAUUAAAGUUGUCAAAAGUGUAGUAUUUGGUCACAUAUUCCUAGCACGCAAUGAUUACGUCAAGCAUGUGACUCUACAAACUUGUUGGGUGUUUCUGCUGUUUGUUUUGGUUGUGUUUCAGAUCAUUUUCUGCCCAAUAGAAAAUAAUGGUAAAUAACUAAUUAUGUCAGAUUAUAUGUCUA
ensembl:lncRNA